rnacentral:rRNA from 1 species
CAGGCUUAACACAUGCAAGUCGAGGGGCAGCAUGGUCUUAGCUUGCUAAGGCCGAUGGCGACCGGCGCACGGGUGAGUAACGCGUAUCCAACCUGCCUUACACUCUUGGACAGCCUUCUGAAAGGGAGAUUAAUACAAGAUGUUAUCAUGAGUAAGCAUUUUCGCAUGAUUAAAGGUUUACCGGUGUAAGAUGGGGAUGCGUUCCAUUAGAUAGUAGGCGGGGUAACGGUCCACCUAGUCUUCGAUGGAUAGGGGUUCUGAGAGGAAGGUCCCCCACAUUGGAACUGAGACACGGUCCAAACUCCUACGGGAGGCAGCAGUGAGGAAUAUUGGUCAAUGGACGAGAGUCUGAACCAGCCAAGUAGCGUGAAGGAUGAAGGUUCUAUGGAUUGUAAACUUCUUUUAUACGGGAAUAAACGAAUCCACGUGUGGAUUUUUGCAUGUACCGUAUGAAUAAGGAUCGGCUAACUCCGUGCCAGCAGCCGCGGUAAUACGGAGGAUCCGAGCGUUAUCCGGAUUUAUUGGGUUUAAAGGGAGCGUAGAUGGGUUGUUAAGUCAGUUGUGAAAGUUUGCGGCUCAACCGUAAAAUUGCAAUUGAUACUGGCAGUCUUGAGUACAGUUGAGGUAGGCGGAAUUCGUGGUGUAGCGGUGAAAUGCUUAGAUAUCACGAAGAACUCCGAUUGCGAAGGCAGCUUACUAACCUGUAACUGACAUUGAUGCUCGAAAGUGUGGGUAUCAAACAGGAUUAGAUACCCUGGUAGUCCACACGGUAAACGAUGAAUACUCGCUGUAGGCGAUAUACAGUCUGCGGCCAAGCGAAAGCAUUAAGUAUUCCACCUGGGGAGUACGCCGGCAACGGUGAAACUCAAAGGAAUUGACGGGGGCCCGCACAAGCGGAGGAACAUGUGGUUUAAUUCGAUGAUACGCGAGGAACCUUACCCGGGCUUAAAUUGCAACCGAAUAUGGCGGAAACGCUAUAGCUAGCAAUAGCGGUUGUGAAGGUGCUGCAUGGUUGUCGUCAGCUCGUGCCGUGAGGUGUCGGCUUAAGUGCCAUAACGAGCGCAACCCUUGCCGAUAGUUACUAACAGGUCAUGCUGAGGACUCUGUCGGGACUGCCAUCGUAAGAUGUGAGGAAGGUGGGGAUGACGUCAAAUCAGCACGGCCCUUACGUCCGGGGCUACACACGUGUUACAAUGGGGGGUACAGAGGGCUGCUACCACGCAAGUGGAUGCCAAUCCCAAAAACCUCUCUCAGUUCGGAUUGAAGUCUGCAACCCGACUUCAUGAAGCUGGAUUCGCUAGUAAUCGCGCAUCAGCCACGGCGCGGUGAAUACGUUCCCGGGCCUUGUACACACCGCCCGUCAAGCCAUGGGAGCCGGGGGUACCUGAAGUGCGUAACCGCAAGGAGCGCCCUAGGGUAAAACUGGUGACUGGGGCUAAG